ensembl:lncRNA EPIC1 epigenetically induced MYC interacting lncRNA 1
GAGACACUUCGUGCAAUUCUGGAGGCUGAGAAGUCCCACGAUCUGCUGUCCGCAAGCCGGACACCCAGGAAUGCUGGCAGUGCAAGUUCCAAGACCUGAGGGCCGGGAUCCAAUGGAGUGGACGCCAGUCAGAGUCUGAAUCCCUGAGAACCAGGAGUACCAACGGCCAGAGGGAACGGAUGUCUGCCUUGGGUCAGGCAGAGAGAAUCCAAACGCCCUCCACCUUUUUGUCCUGUUCCGGCUUCCACAGAUUGGACGAGGCCCACCCACCUUGGGGAGGGGCCAGCUGCUGUGUUCAGUCCGCCAUUGCAAACACGAAGCUCUUCCAGAAACGCCCUCACAGACACCCCGGAAGUCACGUACCCACUCUGUAGGUGCCCCGGGGCACAGGCAAGCGGACGAGCCAGUUAUCCCUCAGAGCUCCUGCUGCCUCGCCCGCUUUCUCUCGGAAACGUGAAGUGUGGCCUCAGCUGAAAGUGAGGUGGGCCUCAUUCAAUCAGUUGAAUUCUUCAAGAGAGAAAAACUGAAGUCCCUUAGAAGGAAAGAGUUCUGCCUUCAGACUGUCUUUGAACUUAAGACUGUAGCGUCGACUCCUGCCGGAAUUUCCAGCCUGCUGGCCAGCUCUGCAGAUUCACACUUGCCAGCCUCCACAAUCGCAGCUGAGGCGGAGGAACCCUAAGGGCUCAUUGAGAUCAUGGAUUUGCCCUUCUAUGCAUUGAUGGAGCACCUGCUGCCCACAGCGUCUGUAUUUGGUGCUGGGAUGCUGAGCCUCCUUCUUUAUGAAUUUUUAAAAGGACACUGAGAUCUUCAAACAGAGGCUGCCACUCUAAGCAAACAGAUCCCGAGCCCUGGACUCUGAAGCUUGGGCCCAGUUCUCCUUUUCUCCGGGUUUCAGAUCCCACUGUGAAGUGAGGGGGCCCUUCUGAUUCAGGACCCGGGGAAGCCAGGGGCAUGAGCAUCGGUGCCUCUUCUCUAUUUCAAGGACCCUUCUGGGUGUAAAGUUCUCUGAGAUGCCUUACAUGGAUUCCCACCACUGCAAGAUAACCAUCGUAAAUGACUGAUGGGGAGAAAGAUGCAGAGCACAGACUAAUUCGCAGCUAAUUCUUCUAAACAGUCAUGACUGGCUAGACAAAAUGUGGCAGAUGCUUUUCAUUUUAUUUCCAAAUUUGCAAUGAAAGCCGAGAGUCGCGGUGGAUAGGCUCUUUCUUCUGGCCCCUGACCUGUGCGAUGACUCAACAUGGCACAGGAUGAUGGAGUUAGAAAACCCCACGGGGACAGAAGACGCUGUAGACAGUCAGCUGGCGGGAAGGACUCGGACAACCCAAUCGCACACCAAGAUGCCCUUGAGCGCUGCUGUCUCCCUCACAGUGGGGGCGCCACCCAGAACACCAGGCACUUUGCUGUGGCUCCAGGGAGACGUGAGCUCUGGACAGAAGGAAAUGUUCUCCUGAGUCCUUUCAAUUCUUGGUGGCUGCUGGACUUGCCUGUUGAGGGGGAUCUUGCUGCGGGUCAUAGCCACUCCUCUCAUGGUGGGGACACAGUAAGAAAACAAGACAGGUCAGGUAGAGUAUUCACAUACACACACACACGCAUGCACACACACAAUUUUAGCUGGCUAUAACUACUUUAAAGAAAAUCUGUAGGUUGCCAAUAGAAUGACAGGUGACAGUUAAGGAGGGAUGGCCACUGUUCAGGGAAAGUCUCUCUGGAAAGAUGACCUUCGAGCUGAGGACCAGAAAGGCCUGUGGCAGUGAGGCUUUUUUGUUGUUGUUGUUGUUUUUUGGUUUUUUUGAGACAGAGUCUCACUCUGUCGCCCAGGCUGGAGUUCAGUGGCAUGAUCUUGGCUCACUCCAACCUCUGCCUCCUGGGUUCAAGCGAUUCUUCUGCCUCAGCCUCCCAAGUAGCUGGGAAUACAGAUGCGUGCCACCAUGCCUGGCUAAUUUUUGUAUUUUUAGUAGAGAUGGGGUUUCACCAUAUUGGCCAGGCUGGUCUCGAACUCCUGACCUCAUGAUCCACCCACCUUGGCCCCCCAGAGUGCUGGGAUUACAGGUGUGAACCACUGCACCCAGCCGUCAGCAAGUUUUGUGUGUCGACUUGGUUAGGAUGUGGUGCCCAGUUAUUUGAUCAAGCAAUAAUCUGGAUGUCAAUGUGGGGGUACUUUGUAGAUGUGGGUAACAUCCACCAUCAGCUGAUGGUACAUAAAGGAGAUACCCUGAAUAGUGUGAAUGGGCCUCAUCCCAUCAAUUGAAGAUCUUAAGAGCGUAACUGAAGCUUCCCUGGAAAAGAAGAAAUUCUGCCUGAAGACCACAGCAUCACUGCUGCCCCCGAGCCCUACGGAGCUCAGACUUGCCUACCCCCAGAGUCCCGUGGACCAAUUUCUUGCAAUCUCUUUUAUUGAUUCAAAUUUCUACUUCUAUUAAAUUUAUUUUUAUUUAUUUUAUUUUUAUUUUGUUGUACAAUACACACAAUAUUCUACUGGUUCUGUUUCUCUGGAGAACCAUGUCGGAUGCUAAUACAGGGUUCAUAGUCAUGCAUCUUCUCUAUCCAUUUGCUCUGGACACAUUAGUGGGCCUCAUCCACACAUGGUUUCAGCUAUUCACAUAUGGCUGCAACUUCUGAAUUUCUGUCUACAGCCUGGGACUCUCUCCUUGCACCACAGUCAUAAACUCAGGAACCUGCUGGACAUGACUACUCAAAGGCUCCCGCGUAUCUCAAACCUAAGAUGUCUGUUGUGAAAUGAGAAAAUUUACCCUCACCCUAAGCUUUUUUAUUAUUUUUUAAAAAUUCUUAACUAAUUUUUAAUUGUAAUGUAACAUAAACAGGAACAUGCAUAAAUCAGAAGCGUGUUGUGUGCAGAGCUCAGUCAAUUUUCACAAAAUGAACACACCCCUGAAGUCACCAUCCUGAUCGAGAUGACCACAUCCUCAGGGUUCCAAAUAUCCCCAUGCUCAUUCCCAGUCAUGACCGCCUUCUUUGCAAAGUGUAACACCUUCUUCUGACUACUGGCCCCUAUGUUACUUUUGCUUGUUUCAAAUUUUAUACAAAUUGAACCAUAUAGCAUGAAUUAUUUUAUGUCUGUUUCUUUUACUCAAUAUUGUAUUUGUGGGAUUUAUUCAUGUGGUGUUGUAUAUUAAUCAUUUAUGCAUCCAUAUUUUAUCAUUGCAGAGUACCACACUGUGUAAUUCUACCACAAUUUGUUCAAACAAUUCCACUGUUGGUGGGCGCCGGGGCUGCCUCCAGCUUGGGGCCAGUGUGUAUAAUGCUGUGUGAUUAUUCUAUACAUGUGUUUGGUACAUAUUUCCAUGUGGCAUUGUUGUGUAUAAACCUGAUUAAAA